rnacentral:ncRNA from 1 species
UCAAUCCUUCGGGGCAGGGUGCAAUUCCCUACCGACGGUGAUACGCGAUCCUUACGAUUGCGUUCAGUCCGUGACCCGGCUCGAAUCGAACGAUUCUUGACGGUUGACUCGGUGCAAGUCCGAGACCGACAGUAACAGUCUGGAUGGGAGAAGGAGACG